AUUGAACGCUGGCGGCAGGCCUAACACAUGCAAGUCGAACGUGUAGCGGACGGUUGAGUAAUGUCUGGGAACCUGCCUGAUGGAGGGGGAUAACUACUGGAAACGGUAGCUAAAACCGCAUACCAUCAGAUGUGCCCAGAUGGGAUUAGCUGGUCGGUGGGGUAAUGGCUCACCUAGGCGACGAUCCCUCGCUGGUCUGAGAGGUGGACCGGCCACACUGGAACUGAGACACGGCCCAGACUCCUACGGGAGGCAGCAGUGGGGAAUAUUGCACAAUGGGCGAAAGCCUGACGCAGCCAUGCCGCGUGUGUGAAGAAGGCCUUCGGGUUGUAAAGCACUUUCAGCGAGGAGGCGUUACUCGACGAAGAAGCAACGGCUAACUCCGUGCCAGCAGCCGCGGUAAUAC
rnacentral:rRNA from 1 species